CAGAGUUCAUGCCCUCACGGGUAGAUCUCCCACCCUUGAGUAUUAUACUUCUGUUGCUUUGGCGGGCCGCUUAGGCUACCGGCUUCGGCUGGUGAGUGCCCGCCAGAGGACCCAAAACUCUGAAUUAUAGUGUUGUCCGAGUACUAUAUAAUAGUUA
rnacentral:misc_RNA from 1 species